rnacentral:rRNA from 1 species
UACGUAGGGUGCGAGCGUUAAUCGGAAUUACUGGGCGUAAAGCGUGCGCAGGCGGUUUUGUAAGUCAGAUGUGAAAUCCCCGGGCUUAACCUGGGAACUGCGUUUGAAACUACAAGGCUAGAGUGUGGCAGAGGGGGGUGGAAUUCCACGUGUAGCAGUGAAAUGCAUAGAGAUGUGGAGGAACACCGAUGGCGAAGGCAGCCCCCUGGGUUAACACUGACGCUCAGGCACGAAAGCGUGGGGAGCAAACAGG